rnacentral:rRNA from 1 species
UGCUCAGCUUGAAAAAUGGGGCCUUCGGCUUUGAAUUGUAAUUUUGAAAUGUAUUGCCAAUGGAGGCGCAGGUGCAAGCCUAUUGAAAGAAAGCGUCAAUGAGGGUGAGAUUCCUUUUUGUCAUUUGCAGUCCUCCGUGCACGGUAUAUAUUUGACGAGUCACACUCCUCGGCAUUGGAAUGCAAAGUGGGUGGUAAAUUCCAUGUAAAGGUAAAUAUAUUAUUGAGACUGAUAGCAAACAAGUACCAUGAGGGAAAUAUGAAAAGGACUUUGAAAAGAGAAUUAAAAGAGUCUGCAUUUGCUGAACAGAAAGCAAACAGAAUUGAUCUUACUUGGUGAGAUUGUUGUGCCCACUUUAGCAUUUAUAUGUUGGAUGUGGGUGCGAUGGUUCUUGCCUUGAAUGUCAGCUUCUAUUUCUGCAAAUCAUUACCCUUGCACGUGAAUGGUAAUUUGCCUGUGGGUAUUGGAAUGCAUGUGUUUGCAAUGAUUUGUGAUUUGAUAUGUGUGAUUGGUGCUACUUGCGUGUUGCUCCUUUGUCAACGGGGAAGGCUGUCUUCCUUGAGCCCGCAAGCCCAAACACCUUACUGCUGGCAAAAUGUUUCUGCUUGACCCGUCUUGAAACACGGACCAAGGGAGUCUAACAGAUGUGCAAGUUCGUGRGUGGGCAAACCUUUUAGCGCAAUGAAAGUAUUGGCUGGGAUACUUGCACCAGCAGCCGACCGAUUAGCAGACAGAGGUUUGAGUUUGAGCAUAUCUAUUAGGACCCGAAAGAUGGUGAACUAUGCCUGAACAGAAUGAAUUCAGAGGAAACUCUGAUGGAGGUUCGUAUCGAUACUGACGUGCAAAUCGUUCGUCAUACUUGGGUAUAGGGGCGAAAGACUAAUCGAACCAUCUAGUAGCUGGUUCCCUCCGAAGUUUCCCUCAGGAUAGCUGGAGUUGCACAGUUUUAUCAGGUAAAGCGAAUGAUUAGAGGAAUUGGGGACACGCUGUCCUUGACCUAUUCUCAAACUUUAAAUGGGUAAGAUGCAAUGGUUGCUUUAUUGAACUUUUGGAAUAAAUGGCAAUAUCAGGUGGGCCAUUUUUGGUAAGCAGAACUGGCGAUGAGGGAUGAACCUAACGUUGGGUUAAGGUGCUUAAUUGCUUGCUCAUUAGAUACCAGAAAGGGUGUUGGUUCAUUUUAACAGCAGGACGU